UCCACGCUGUAAACGAUGUUCAUUAGGUGUGGGGAGGUUUCAAUACCUUCUGUGCCGUAGCUAACGCGUUAAAUGAACCGCCUGGGGAGUACGACCGCAAGGUUAAAACUCAAAGGAAUUGACGGGGGCCCGCACAAGCAGUGGAUCAUGUGGUUUAAUUCGAUAAUACGCGAAGAACCUUACCAGCUCUUGACAUCCAGAGAAUUUUCUAGAGAUAGAGAAGUGCCUUCGGG
rnacentral:rRNA from 1 species